GCCGGGGUAGCCUAGCCAGGUAAGGCGCGGGACUUGAGAUCCCGUGGGGCAUACGCCCCUCCUGGGUUCAAAUCCCAGCCCCGGCG
rnacentral:tRNA from 1 species